CUCGGCGUCGCUCUGGACUGGCGCAGGCGCAAGCCGGCAAGAUGGCGGCGGCUGGGGCUGGCCGUCUGAGGCGGGCGGCAUCGGCUCUGCUGCUGCGGAGCCCCCGCCUGCCCGCCCGGGAGCUGUCGGCCCCGGCCCGACUCUAUCACAAGAAGGUAGGGACAAAAGAGGCGACGCGCGGAAUGCCGACUCGGCGGAGGCCUGGGCUGGAGGGGCGGCCGCGGGGUUCUGCGCAGCUAGGACUGGGAGCUGUCCCCUCCUACGUCUUUGCCCUGACUCGCUUUCCCUUGCUGCGCAGUGGGGCUCACUGCAACUGAUAAACAACAGUUACCGCUCAUCGGGCGGCGACUUCCAGGGGGCCCCGCCGCUGGCCGCGACUUCGUGCGUCCCAAUUUUAAAUUCGCCAACAGCCCAGGAGGCAGGGUCCUGUUGGGACUUGUCUUUCUGAGUCCAGGGACAGACACACCCCCGGAGCGGGCUCCGGCUUCAGCCACUCCGCUGCCCUGGCCAGAUGACCUUGGGCUAGUCACUGCGCCUCUCUGAACCUGUUUCCCCAGGUGUAAAUGGGGGGCUCUCAGCUGUCCCUUACAAAGGAUACUGUGCGUGGAGUCCUGGCAUGGUUCCUGGCACAUAGGCCCCAGCACGAGGAGACCGUUUCUGUUACUGCUUUAGGAGUGCAUAGGGGAGUCAGGCUUGUAACCAACAUGCGUAAUGUUUUUGUUUUGUUUGGGGGGUUUUUUGGCGGGGAAGGAGGGAUAGAUUCAUAGUCUGCAGCCCCUUGCUGUCUGGUGGCACAAAGUCCCCCAGACGUGAGACUCCCACUCGAGAAACAACUAAAGAAUGCCAUAAAUCAACGUGGCACAAAAGGCCCCUACAUUAGAUACUAUCCUGAGGUCCCUUUUACUUGGAGUCAAAAUCCUUAGUCAGAUGGGGGGAAAAGGGGACUGGAAGAUCGGCGUGCUUACUACUAACCAGUAACCAAACCUCAAGGUUAUUAAGGCCUUCUCUGUGCCAGUUCGAAUGGAUGUUUAUUCUGAUCUGGCUUCUGCCCUUUCUCCAAGGGCUUCUUCACUCCUCCCCCUCCCGGGGGUGUGUUUUGUUGAGGGUACACCCUGAAGAAACUUGGACUAGCAGCCUUUCAGCAGCCAGGGUGCGCUGCUGCACCAGGGUGAUGACAGGCUGUGAAAUACGGUAAUGGCACUGUUUUUAUUUUAAAAGACACAUAAACGUACACAUUCCAUAGCAUUGUUCCCUGUGUAACAGUCACCUUAAGGCUUCUAAGAAAGCUUUCCCUCCCUGGGCCAUGGUUAUUUUUAGAAUUUUUAAAUAGUAAUCAUCCUUUGAGGAUGGAUUUUAUUUGAAAAUAACAAAACUGCUGUUUGAGCCCAAGUCUGGUGAUGUAGGUGGGUGAAAGUCAAGUAUUUUUGUAAAAACCCUAUGGAACUAAGACAUGGAUUUCACUGAUUUUUUUUUUCUUCUAGGUAUCUCAAAUCUGUGAAGUAUUGUAGAGGAGACACAAAAGGAAUUGGGGGUCACAAAUGGUUCUCAUUGACAUGAGUGUAGACCUUUCUACUCAGGUGAAAUUUGGUAUUUAGUGAUUGCCUGCCAGGUUCAAGAUGCUGACCGAGGAGCUUACCAUCAAACCAGAGACCAGUACCAAUAGAGAGUGAACAUGAUUUAUCUUAACCCUCUCAUUUUAGGUUGUUGAUCAUUAUGAAAAUCCUAGAAACGUGGGGUCCCUUGACAAGACAUCUAAAAAUGUUGGAACUGGACUGGUGGGGGCUCCAGCAUGUGGUGACGUAAUGAAAUUACAGAUUCAAGUGGAUGAAAAGGGGAAGAUUGUGGAUGCUAGGUUUAAAACAUUUGGCUGUGGUUCCGCAAUUGCCUCCAGCUCAUUAGCCACUGAAUGGGUGAAAGGAAAGACGGUGGAGGAAGCCUUGACUAUCAAAAACACAGAUAUCGCCAAGGAGCUCUGCCUUCCUCCCGUGAAACUGCACUGCUCCAAAUCUGUGCUGUUUCCAGCAGAGGAGAAAACUCAGCUUUCGCCAUAAUCCUGUUUCCUGUGUAUUUCUUCACUUCCUGUCUGGAUGGAAUUCCUGUCGGGGUCUGCAUCUGUAUAUAUGGAACAACUAAGCCCAGUUGUACAAUGUCCCCCUCCCUGCUAUCCUAAAAAAAAGCCCAGAUGCCUUAAGACUUGUACUUGGCUUUCCAGUUUGGUCUCUGUAUUAAAUCUAAUGCUUUUUCCAUCAUUUCUUAACCUUCUCAGGGAAAGAAGGAAUGAGAAACAUUAGCCUUAAUGCAUCGAUGGAGGUUUACUAACCAAAUUAGUUAAAAAUCAGCAGAGAGUCAGGCCUCUUGCCAAGGUAAUACUCACAGCAGAAGAGCCAGGUGCCGGGGCAGACACACUAACUCAUUCUUCAGGAAGCCUGGUCAGACCUAAGUUCUUUCCACUUGAUCUGGAAUUUUAAGUACCCAUAAAGAAAGGUCAUCACUUGUAAACAUUUUCACAUGGUUUCAGGAAAUCCCCAGCCCUUUUAUUAGGCCUUUUUAGGUACUGAAACCUUUAGCUGAUGUUCUCUGUUAUUUGCUUGCUUUCUGCUGUCACUCCAGCUCUCUGUUUUUAUUUUCCCCAUAGCCUCACUUUGAAUAUUGACUCCUAAAUAAAAGUGGUCAAACUCUCGAUCACUAGAGGGUGAUGUGGCAAAUGCCAUCCCAUCAACAGAUUGACAUGAUCUUUUUUCCAAAGGGCAUGUCAACUUUUUUAUCAUGACAAGAUUUUGUCCAAAGCUAGACUUUGAUGGGAGCAGGCAAGAAGUAACAUUUCCUGUGUCCCUACUAUGUGUCAGACAUCUUCUGUAAGUCCCCACACUAUCCUGGCAAGAAAAGCAUGAUUAUCCCAGUUCUAUAGAAAAGAAAGUAGGGUCAAAGAGGCUAAGGAACUAGCCUGGGAUCACAGAUUUUUAACCCUAGUCUGUCUCCAGGAUCACCCGCAGGAGUAACUCAGCUCAGGAAGCAGCUGCUGACGUGCCCGGCAACUCCUCACCCCAGCUUUCUGGCUUGGUUACUCCAUUAGUCCCCACCAGCACCACUUCCUCCCAGCUCUUAAAGAUUCUAUUCCCAAGUCCAUUUCUUUCACAUCUAGAAACUUAGGCUUCUUUCCUUCCAUUACUUCCAGUGCUGGCUGAAGAUGCAAUCAAGGCCGCCCUGGCUGAUUACAAAUUGAAACAAGAACCCAAAAAAGGAGAGGCAGAGAAGAAAUGAGCCCUCCCUCGGCGAAGCCUCCAGCAGGCCACACCAGCUGUUUCCCACCUGCUGUGCAGUCACCUUAGAUGUUCAGAAGCCGCUUCCUCUCCACUGAAGAGCUAUGAGAUACGCACAAUACUUGCUGUUCACGUUAUGACUCUCAUGCAAGCAAAAUACACAGUUUCAUUGUUCUGAAUCCUGUGGUUUCUUUCAGCCCACUUUUAUCGCCUUAACCUAGUUAAUGUGUAUUUUGAAUUGUGUGUAUGACCUCAGAACUGAAAUUGAUAAUGAAGUUGCAAGUUUUGAUAGCCCGUGAAGUGCAUAAGUAUCUAAUUUUACCUGAAUUGAUUUGGGGGGAAAUUACCAGUAGAAUGCCUUGGUCUGAAUAUUUGAUAGAACCAAUUGUUGUACAUAAAACAGAUCUGCGCAUAUAUAUAUAUAUAUAUAUAUGUAU
rnacentral:sRNA from 1 species